rnacentral:rRNA from 1 species
AACGAACGCUGGCGGCAGGCUUAACACACGCAAGUCGAACGAGAUCUUCGGAUCUAGUGGCAGACGGGUGAGGAACACGUGGGAACAUCCCUUUCAGUUCGGAAUAACGUUGGGAAACUAACGCUAAUACCGGAUACGUCCUUCGGGAGAAAGAUUUAUCGCUGAAAGAUUGGCCCGCGUCUGAUUAGCUAGUUGGUGAGGUAAUGGCUCACCAAGGCUACGGUCAGUAGCUGAUCUGAGAGGAUGAUCAGCCACAUUGGGACUGAGACACGGCCCAAACUCCUACGGGAGGCAGCAGUGGGGAAUAUUGGACAAUGGGCGCAAGCCUGAUCCAGCCAUGCCGCGUGAGUGAUGACGGCCUUCGGGUUGUAAAGCUCUUUUGUCCGGGAAGAUAAUGACUGUACCGGAAGAAUAAGCCCCGGCAAACUUCGUGCCAGCCGCCGCCGGUAA